rnacentral:rRNA from 1 species
GCUGGAGGUAUCAGAAGUGCGAAUGCUGACAUAAGUAACGAUAAAGCGGGUGAAAAGCCCGCUCGCCGGAAGACCAAGGGUUCCUGUCCAACGUUAAUCGGGGCAGGGUGAGUCGACCCCUAAGGCGAGGCCGAAAGGCGUAGUCGAUGGGAAACGGGUUAAUAUUCCCGUACUUGGUGUUACUGCGAAGGGGGGACGGAGAAGGCUAUGUUGGCCGGGCGACGGUUGUCCCGGUUUAAGCGUGUAGGUGUGUGUUCCAGGUAAAUCCGGUUCACUUUAACACUGAGGCGUGACGACGAGGCACUACGGUGCUGAAGCAACAAAUGCCCUGCUUCCAGGAAAAGCCUCUAAGCAUCAGGUAACAUCAAAUCGUACCCCAAACCGACACAGGUGGUCAGGUAGAGAAUACCAAGGCGCUUGAGAGAACUCGGGUGAAGGAACUAGGCAAAAUGGUGCCGUAACUUCGGGAGAAGGCACGCUGACACGUAGGUGAAGUGAUUUACUCAUGGAGCUGAAGUCAGUCGAAGAUACCAGCUGGCUGCAACUGUUUAUUAAAAACACAGCACUGUGCAAACACGAAAGUGGACGUAUACGGUGUGACGCCUGCCCGGUGCCGGAAGGUUAAUUGAUGGGGUCAGCGCAAGCGAAGCUCCUGAUCGAAGCCCCGGUAAACGGCGGCCGUAACUAUAACGGUCCUAAGGUAGCGAAAUUCCUUGUCGGGUAAGUUCCGACCUGCACGAAUGGCGUAAUGAUGGCCAGGCUGUCUCCACCCGAGACUCAGUGAAAUUGAACUCGCUGUGAAGAUGCAGUGUACCCGCGGCAAGACGGAAAGACCCCGUGAACCUUUACUAUAGCUUGACACUGAACAUUGAGCCUUGAUGUGUAGGAUAGGUGGGAGGCUUUGAAGUGUGGACGCCAGUCUGCAUGGAGCCGACCUUGAAAUACCACCCUUUAAUGUUUGAUGUUCUAACGUGGACCCGUAAUCCGGGUUGCGGACAGUGUCUGGUGGGUAGUUUGACUGGGGCGGUCUCCUCCUAAAGAGUAACGGAGGAGCACGAAGGUUGGCUAAUCCUGGUCGGACAUCAGGAGGUUAGUGCAAUGGCAUAAGCCAGCUUGACUGCGAGCGUGACGGCGCGAGCAGGUGCGAAAGCAGGUCAUAGUGAUCCGGUGGUUCUGAAUGGAAGGGCCAUCGCUCAACGGAUAAAAGGUACUCCGGGGAUAACAGGCUGAUACCGCCCAAGAGUUCAUAUCGACGGCGGUGUUUGGCACCUCGAUGUCGGCUCAUCACAUCCUGGGGCUGAAGUAGGUCCCAAGGGUAUGGCUGUUCGCCAUUUAAAGUGGUACGCGAGCUGGGUUUAGAACGUCGUGAGACAGUUCGGUCCCUAUCUGCCGUGGGCGCUGGAGAACUGAGGGGGGCUGCUCCUAGUACGAGAGGACCGGAGUGGACGCAUCACUGGUGUUCGGGUUGUCAUGCCAAUGGCACUGCCCGGUAGCUAAAUGCGGAAGAGAUAAGUGCUGAAAGCAUCUAAGCACGAAACUUGCCCCGAGAUGAGUUCUCCCUGAGAC